rnacentral:rRNA from 1 species
GUCGAGCGGAUGACGGGAGCUUGCUCCUGGAUUCAGCGGCGGACGGGUGAGUAAUGCCUAGGAAUCUGCCUGGUAGUGGGGGACAACGUUUCGAAAGGAACGCUAAUACCGCAUACGUCCUACGGGAGAAAGCAGGGGACCUUCGGGCCUUGCGCUAUCAGAUGAGCCUAGGUCGGAUUAGCUUGUUGGUGAGGUAAUGGCUCACCAAGGCGACGAUCCGUAACUGGUCUGAGAGGAUGAUCAGUCACACUGGAACUGAGACACGGUCCAGACUCCUACGGGAGGCAGCAGUGGGGAAUAUUGGACAAUGGGCGAAAGCCUGAUCCAGCCAUGCCGCGUGUGUGAAGAAGGUCUUCGGAUUGUAAAGCACUUUAAGUUGGGAGGAAGGGUUGUAGAUUAAUACUCUGCAAUUUUGACGUUACCGACAGAAUAAGCACCGGCUAACUCUGUGCCAGCAGCCGCGGUAAUACAG